GUCGAAUUUGCAACUAGCCUAUCGUCUGAUGCAAUUUUACUCAUCAUGCAGUCGAGACAUUGACAUUUUUACAUUUUAAAAUUAAGCACAUCAGUGGAACCCAAUGGCUUUCAAAGUGAAACGUUUUGAUGUGGUAUAAAGAUUUACAUUGGUUUGGUUAUUUUAAUUAUAUUUACUUCUUAAUUUAGGCUUCACAACAUUCAAGAAAACUUUAAAAAAAUAUGGUUACCAUGCAGUGCCGCAUAUAGUUUUGUUGAGGGCAAUCUCAUUGGCCCUGUAAUUUCUCGAAAGAAACCGUAGGACACAUUCAUAGGCAGUGAAUCUUAGUGGUUUUACUAGAAAUUUGAAAUAUCAAGAAAUUGUGCAGUCGAUUUUGAAGGCUUAGGCAUAUAGCAAAAGCAACUGCGGCCUUCAUG
rnacentral:lncRNA from 1 species